rnacentral:rRNA from 1 species
UGUUCGUUAUUUAGGGCGCAUGGUGGAUGCCUUGGCAUGCUGAGCCGAUGAAGGA